AACGCACCUUGCGCUCCUUGGUAUUCCGAGGAGCAUGCCUGUUUGAGUGUCAUUAAAUUCUCAACCCUUGUUAACUUUUUAGUUAGUAAGUGGAUUGGAAGUGGGGGCAUGUUGGUUUCUUCAUUGAAAUGAACUCCCCUGAAAUGCAUUAGCUGGUUGCCUUGUGCAAACAUGUCUAUUGGUGUGAUAAUUAUCUACGCCGUGGGCUAUUUGCCGUUUAUAGCACUGCUUAUAAUCGUCUGUUCAUUCAGACAAUACAUGACAAUUUGACCUCAAAUCAGGUAGGACUACCCGCUGAACUUAA
rnacentral:misc_RNA from 1 species